rnacentral:rRNA from 1 species
GUUGAACGCUGGCGGCAUGCCUUACACAUGCAAGUCGAACGGCAGCACGGGAGCAAUCCUGGUGGCGAGUGGCGAACGGGUGAGUAAUAUAUCGGAACGUGCCCAGUAGUGGGGGAUAACUGCUCGAAAGAGCAGCUAAUACCGCAUACGACCUGAGGGUGAAAGGGGGGGAUCGCAAGACCUCUCGCUAUUGGAGCGGCCGCUAUCAGAUUAGCUAGUUGGUGGGGUAAAGGCCUACCAAGGCAACGAUCUGUCGUUGGUCUGAGAGGACGACCAGCCACACUGGGACUGAGACACGGCCCAGACUCCUACGGGAGGUAGCAGUGGGGAAUUUUGGACAAUGGGCGCAAGCCUGAUCCAGCAAUGCCGCGUGCAGGAAGAAGGCCUUCGGGUUGUAAACUGCUUUUGUCAGGGAAGAAAUCCUCUAGGUUAAUACCCUUGGGGGGAUGACGGUACCUGAAGAAUAAGCACCGGCUAACUACGUGCCAGCCGCCGCCGUAAGAC